rnacentral:rRNA from 1 species
UACGUAGGGUGCGAGCGUUAAUCGGAAUUACUGGGCGUAAAGCGUGCGCAGGCGGCUUCGCAAGUCAGACGUGAAAUCCCCGGGCUUAACCUGGGAACUGCAUUGGUGACUGGCGGGCUAGAGUAUGGCAGAGGGGGGUAGAAUUCCACGUGUAGCAGUGAAAUGCGUAGAGAUGUGGAGGAAUACCGAUGGCGAAGGCAGCCCCCUGGGCCAAUACUGACGCUCAUGCACGAAAGCGUGGGGAGCAAACAGG